rnacentral:misc_RNA from 1 species
UGCCAGUGCCCUCAGGGGCAAUUGAGAUCGCUGAAUUCGAAGCCCGCAGGAUUGCGGGCUUUUUUUUGCCCCGGC